GUUCACUCUCGGGUCUCGGGCUAGUUGUACACCAUGGAAGCAAAGGAUGGGACUGAACAAUUGUUCUGAGAAUCUCACUGCUGAAGUGUCAUUGAAACAUUUCACAGUUUAUAAAGAAGUAAGGAAGGGAGGACACAGGCAACCUGACUGGCCUUGGGACAACUGAGGGGAGUAGUCAAUAUGCUCAAGAUGCCAUCCAUCAUGAUUCCAUACGAACCGGCUCUGCGGAUGACUGCUGAGUCAAACCUGUGCAUGUCCGCGGCUGGUUUCCUCCUCCCCAGCCUGGGCAGUGCAUCACCCCACGUGUGGUCUGUGCCGGGCAUGCUUCGUGUCUGUCUGACCAGCAUCCACUUCCCAUCCUCUGAAGAACCAUUCUGCAGGGGAGUAUUUCUUCUAUAAGCACUUCACAAACAAGGCUCAGAAACGUCGGAUAAUUCUGGAGAGACCACAAAGCUAAAAAGGAACGGAAAUGGGAUUCUAACUCAGGAGAUGCUUUGCCUACAAGUCAAUGAGUAGCACGGAUGCUUUGGGCAAGGUCAUUCUAAAAGAAUGCCCUUUUACCUGUUUCCCCAACCUCAAACCUCUUACGCAAUCACUUAUUCUGCUGGGUUGACUUUAAAAAAGGUCAAGAGGAGCGAACACCUUCCAAACCCCUUUGGCUGCUUCUGCCUCAAAUGUAAGCCUCUUCCCCAGGAACUGGACAUUCAUAACCAGAAAUCAGAGGAGUGGGACCCAGGCUAAGGUGUCCUGCAUUACCUAAUUGAGAGCUGGGCGAAAGUAUCUUGAAAAUCACGGUGAAUGACACAAACGGAAUGAUUUGUAAUGACUGUGAAUGAAAAUCACAGUGAAGAAUUCUUGAACACUACCUCUGAAACUAAUGAUCUGGCUAACUGAAUUAAAAUUAAAAAAAAAAGAAAAAGAAAAGAAAGAAAAUCACAGUGAGUGAUUUCAAACGGUCCUUGAAACAAAAAGGACUUGACAUCAUAAUUCCAGAGGAGAACCUCUUCAGGUAUUUUUGGAGGCUUCUCUGUCUUCCCGGUCACAUUUGCCUCUCAAAUGGAUAAGAGAACUUUAAGUAGUGGCCAGCGGAAAGGCACUAUUAACUUGAUUUAUCAUUCGACUGCGUUAGAACACAAGGUGAGUACAAUAUAUCUCUAUUUUCUGGCCUUCUGAGAACUUAGAAGUCCU